rnacentral:rRNA from 1 species
GGCGAACGCUGGCGGCGUGCCUCCUACAUGAAGUCGAGCGGACAGAUGGGAGCUUGCUCCCUGAUGUUAGCGGCGGACGGGUGAGUAACACGUGGGUAACCUGCCUGUAAGACUGGGAUAACUCCGGGAAACCGGGGCUAAUACCGGAUGCUUGAUUGAACCGCAUGGUUCAAUUAUAAAAGGUGGCUUUUAGCUACCACUUACAGAUGGACCCGCGGCGCAUUAGCUAGUUGGUGAGGUAACGGCUCACCAAGGCAACGAUGCGUAGCCGACCUGAGAGGGUGAUCGGCCACACUGGGACUGAGACACGGCCCAGACUCCUACGGGAGGCAGCAGUAGGGAAUCUUCCGCAAUGGACGAAAGUCUGACGGAGCAACGCCGCGUGAGUGAUGAAGGUUUUCGGAUCGUAAAACUCUGUUGUUAGGGAAGAACAAGUACCGUUCGAAUAGGGCGGUACCUUGACGGUACCUAACCAGAAAGCCACGGCUAACUACGUGCCAGCAGCCGCGGUAAUACGUAGGUGGCAAGCGUUGUCCGGAA